GAAAUGGCUACUCCUUCAAAAAUCUCGAAGCGCAGUUUCACAGAUUUUUCCUUUGACGAACCUUUCCAACAGCCGUCAGUGUGCACAAAUUGUUGCGAAGUUAAGAAGCAAAUCGCGGAAAUAAAUGAAAAACUUGAGGAAAUAAUUCUUUCUCUUGCGGAAC